GACGAACGCUGGCGGCGUGCCUAACACAUGCAAGUCGAACGGAGAUAUGAUUUCGGUUGUAUCUUAGUGGCGAACGGGUGAGUAACGCGUGAGCAACCUGACCUUCAGAGGGGGAUAACACUCGGAAACGAGUGCUAAUACCGCAUAAGACCACGACAUGACAUCAUGACGAGGUCAAAGGAGCAAUCCGCUGAGGGAGGGGCUCGCGUCCCAUUAGAUAGAUGGCGGGGUAACGGCCCACCAUGUCCGCGAUGGGUAGCCGAGCUGAGAGGCUGAUCGGCCACACUGGAACUGAGACACGGUCCAGACUCCUACGGGAGGCAGCAGUGGGGAAUAUUGGGCAAUGGGCGCAAGCCUGACCCAGCAACGCCGCGUGAGGGAAGAAGGCUUUCGGGUUGUAAACCUCUGUCCUUGGUGACGAAAAAAUGACGGUAGCCAAGGAGGAAGCCCCGGCUAACUACGUG
rnacentral:rRNA from 1 species